rfam:Anaeromyxobacter sp. RBG_16_69_14 RBG_16_scaffold_8590, whole genome shotgun sequence.
GUCGUCCCGCCCGGCAAAGGUUAGCGACCAGCCGGAACCGAGUGUUGCGUGCAGCGCGGAGGUAACUCCGCCCACGAGGCGUACACAGGGAGCACGCAGGCCGUGCAAUUGAGCUCCGAAAUCGCCUAUAUCGCGAGGGCCGACGCCGUUGUUGUGGCGGAAGGCUGUACCGGAGCGCCGCGGGGGCAACCCCAGCCAGGCGCCGAGGCCUCGCCGGAGUCUGAGAACA